UCGGGGGAAACCCGUCUGA
rnacentral:snRNA from 1 species